GAUGCUAAUUAUCUAAGUGGC
rnacentral:siRNA from 1 species